GAAGAUUUUGUGUCGAGGAAACCCUUCAAAUUGUUCCAGAUCAACUUGAACACACUGCCCACAUACACAAUAAAAAUAUGAUGCAAGGUCUGCAAUUUUAAAUUAAAAUUAUUACUGCACUACACCAUAAUACUUCUUUCAAACUAUCAUAAUUUUAAACAAACUAUUCAGUAUCUACAACUAAGUAAAAUAACCGCCGAUAAUAGUCGAUCUUUAUCUUCUACAUAUGAACAUAUAUGUGGUAUAUUUGUACCAGAAACAUAAGAAGAGGGACCUUACAAUGCUUGCCAGUGUUGGGGAUCAACACUGGUCACAUCCAUGCCAAGGUGGGCUUCAGGUCAGAGAGAGAUGCAACUGGCAACGUCCUCUACCUCUACUCCGGGGCGACCCUCCUUGUGCGUCCUCUUGCUUGAUGGUAUCCUUUGACUACAGAUCAUCCAAAUUCCUCCACCUCUGGGCAUCAUUUACUGCAGAGAAACGGAGUUAAGAGGGGGCUUAGUUUUAGACACCAAUCUAACUAUGGGAUAACAUCAUUAUGGAAGUAGGAAGGAGCCUUGGCGAAUAAUAGAUAUGUUUGAAAUAAAUAGACCAAACAUGCUAAUUACAAGAGGAAGAACAUGUUGAUCCAUCUACGACUUAUAAUGACCUAACGUCUAAGUUAUAACAUCAUUAUGGAAGUAGGCAGGCGCCUUGGUGAAUAAUAGAUAUGUUUAAAAUUAAAUAGACCAAACAUACUAAUUAGCAGCGGAAGAAUAUGUUGAUUCAUAUAUGAAUUCUAAUGGCCUUACAUGAUGCUCAGCGCCAUCGAGCGACCAUCAAUAAAAAUUACAGUUCUCCACAUUAGUAAUCUAACACCAAGAAAAUAAAUAAGCAGUCAUAAUCAUUUGCAACAUUCUUUUCUCUUCCAAUUUUGUAGAAAAGGAUAGAAGUUUUGUUCCAGAACCAUAAAUAGGAAAGAGAAAGAGAAAGAGAAAGAAAUACUAAAAUAUAGGGAACUUAACUAUUUGUCAAAUCAUGAGUUAUGUACAUAAAGAAGUAGGCACAAAAUUAACCUUGGAAUAGGAUUACUCUUCCUGUUUCUCGGCCCAACACCUUAAUAGUGUACUGUGUACCAUAAGAGCAUCAGUAAGUGACACAACUACUCUGCCUACUUCAAUGCCAUAUGUGUGUGCUGAAAGCAAAAAAAAGGAAAUAAAAAAUACUGCAUCUGAACCAUAUUGACUACUAAAAGGAUAGGCACAAGCUUUGCUAAAUUUACCACAAAUGUGAUAUAUUGUGCUAUAAUUAAAUGGGUGCAAUCUGACAAUUGCUAGCAUCACAGAUCAUCCAGGCUUCUAGUUACAUCUAUAAGUGGCCAAAAGGAAUGGCAAACUUUAUUUAGCUUGUAAUAUGCGAAUGCCAGGAAACAGUAGUUGAAUAUAUAUAAGCAAUCAGCCAAGAAAUGAGAUGCUAUAUGUGAAUAAUAUACAAGUACGGAGAUGCUAUAUCAAUGAAGGGCAUAUGGGCACAUCCAGGAAGAAAGAGAGUUCCUCAGUCAUAUAAAUCAGCAGGUAUGAGGCAUAAACAUGCAUCUUGUAUGCAUAUAAACAAAACAAUAUGUACACAGAGUUUUUUCUGGGCCAUCAGAAAUAGUGCAUUCUAAGCAUCAGAUGUUACCUAGCAGGAAAAAAUAAUCCGUUCGACAACAAACAAUGCCUAGAUUGCAUCACACCGAACCCAUGCAUAAAAAGGUUAACAGAAAGCAAGCCGAAGGCUUGUUACCUCAAAAUCAUCUCCUACAUAGCUUAAUAUCUACAACCCAUCUCCAAAUGAUUCCUACAAUAUUGCAAACCUUGCCAAUUGGGCCUCAUCCCCACAUUCUUAAAUAUCUAUAUACGUGAAUUAAGCUCAGUUGGUUUGAGCAAACAACUAUAAUAUGAUACAAUGCAUAGCAAGAUAGAACAAAAAAUGUCAAAAAGGCAUAAUAAACUUGCAAAGAGGCUACCAACAUAACAAUAGGGAUUCCUUUUUACCAAAGGAAAAAGCAGCAAGCUGCACCUUGCUCCAUGAAAAUUAGGGCUCAUAAUGGUCUAGGGACCUGAUUCGUACCUACGACAGGCUAUCAUCAACAGGAGCAGUGGGUACCUCGACGUUGGUCUCUCUAGAGCUGUUGCACACACACA
rnacentral:lncRNA from 1 species